GCUCCAUUCUCGCUGUCAAAACAGUAGGAUUUGAGGGUGAGCUGGGAAUGAGAAUGGCUUGGGGAAGCCCAGGACAACCUGCAGCACACGAGGGAGGGUCCAUCCCCGCAGCACUACCAGCUAAGAAAAGGAAAAGAAUGCAUUGAGGCAGGCGAGGCUCAGAGAGGCCUCGGGGAAGACAUUCUUCUGCACUUAUGCCUGUAGGAACAAGAUGCUGAUCCCGGAGAGCAAGCCUCCAGGUCUUAGAGUGCUGCCCAGUCUGCCUGGAAGCUAUGGUUUCUGAGAGGCAUCAGGUACAUUUAAAAAAAAAAAAUCACCCUAGGAAAGUCCCCAAAGCCUUUCAACGUGCUCUGCGCUCUGUCCCAGAUGCUCAGCCUCCCAAGAGAAAACGAAGUAGAAAACAAUCAAGGAAUAAAGUGACCUCCACACAGUGAUAAACACCAUGACCAAAGGCAACUUGGGAAGGAGAGAACUUAUUUCAGCUUACAGUUUAUAGUUUGUCGUGGAGGAAAGAAAGUCAGCAGAAGUUGAGGUGGUAACUGAAGCAGACCAUGGAGUCUUCCCACUGGCUUGCUCACCAUGGCUUGCCAUCAAGAUAUGUUCUGCCACCUGUAGAAAGGCAGAAUACAAGUCUGCCCAGUUUUGUACUUUGUCCUUGUAUCUAUAGACACCAGAACACAGGCUGUGGAGUAGGAAGAGCUUUGGGACCAUUAGGACAAAUACUGACUUUGCCACUAAAGGACCCAGGAAAGCAAGUUUUCGUCUGUGUUAAAGACUGGGGCUCAAGCCACCACUGUUCUCCUAUGUGUAUCUGAGUUGAUUCUUCAACAAGACUUUGAACGAGCCAGGCGGUGGUGG
rnacentral:lncRNA from 1 species